GACGAACGCUGGCGGCGUGCCUAACACAUGCAAGUCGAACGGGGUCCAUGAGAGCUUGCUCUCGGAAGACCUAGUGGCGAACGGGUGAGUAACACGUGAGAAACCUGCCUUGGAGUGGGGAAUAACUCGGGGAAACUCGAGCUAAUACCGCAUACCUUCCUUUGAUCGCAUGGUCAGCUGAAGAAAGAAUUUCGCUCCAAGAGGGUCUCGCGGCCUAUCAGUUUGUUGGUGGGGUAACGGCCUACCAAGACUACGACGGGUAGCUGGUUUGAGAGAACGAUCAGCCACACUGGAACUGAGACACGGUCCAGACUCCUACGGAGGGCAGCAGUGGGGGAAUCUUGCGCAAUGGGCGAAAGCCUGACGCAGC
rnacentral:rRNA from 1 species